rnacentral:rRNA from 1 species
ACGUAGGGUCCAAGCGUUAAUCGGAAUUACUGGGCGUAAAGCGUGCGCAGGCGGUUGUGCAAGACCGAUGUGAAAGCCCAGGGCUCAACCCUGGAAUUGCCUUCGAUACUGGGAGUCUUGAGUUCGGAAGAGGUUGGUGGAACUGCGAGUGUAGAGGUGAAAUUCGUAGAUAUUCGCAAGAACACCGGUGGCGAAGGCGGCCAACUGGUCCGAAACUGACGCUGAGGCGCGAAAGCGUGGGGAGCAAACAG